GUGGCCUCUUCCUUAUCCCUUAUUUUCUUUUCUUCAAAAAUCUUUUAAACUUUCUAGUGAUGAGGGCCAUUUCUUCAUCUUGAUCUUCAUUUUUUGUUUCUUCGAAUUUCUUAUCGAGUUGAGUAGUGGACUUGAGGGUGAUUGUUCUCUUCUUCUUGACAUCUUUUUGAUGUUGUUUCAUGCUUUGCUCGUGUGUCAUUAGCGAUCCUAGAAGCUCCUC
rnacentral:lncRNA from 1 species